UUGAAAUAAACUUCAACAAAAAAUAUAAUUUGCAUAGUACUGUACCCAUACUAAUAAAGCACUACUACUUCAAGAAGUUCACUAGCAAUGAACUAUUCAAAAUCGAAUGUAUUUAUAACAAUAAACGUCACAAUCGUUCAAAAAAUCUUCAUCAUUCGCGUCAAUAGGUCAAAUUCAUUUGUGGCCACCAUUUCCAAUUGCAUCAUCCACAUUUUCCUACACAAUCAAAAUGAAAUUAAAAAUUAGAAAAAACCUAUAUAUAGUAUGCAUUGGUUAUAACAACAUGUCUUAUUAAUAAUUAAUGAGGUUUAUUUUACUACUAACACAUAACUAAGUCAAACACAGAAAAAGAGGUGCAAGCUAAGGAGAAGCAAAAACGUGAAUUAAUAACCUGCUUACAUCCCAAUAUCUCAGAAAGUUUUGCCUAGAUUGAUAACCCUAAUAGACAGUUAAGAAUAUUGUUUUUCCGCACAAAAAAAAAGUUGUUCAUUUUCUUCCCUUCUUAGGACUAGUGGGUAUAAGGGGAAAAAACUACUGUAUGCUAGCAUUUUGGCUCCAAAACGUUGGGAUAAAGUUUAUGUUUUGGUGGAUUUAAACUUAUUAAGAACAAAAGGGGAUUUGAUAUUAACUUCUCUGUCAUACCAGUGAUAAAGUUAUUGAUCUUUAAGAGGUAAGAGUUUUAUUUUUUAGAGUAAAACCUAACGAUUUGGACCAUUAAACUUCCUGAGGCUUAACCAUAAAUAUCCUUUAACAGAGGAUCAUUCAAGGGAACCUCUUGAACUCAUUCUUGACCAAAUGGAUAGAACAAAAAGAACAAUGAUUUUUUGAAGAGUGUCAGCAGCUAUGAACAUGUAGUUCAUUGCAUAAGGAUUGUUGGAAGCAAUGAAGUAAAAAGAUAGCAAUGGAAUAGCAAAAAGAGCAACAAAUUUGUUGAUCCCUGAAUAUUGAUCUAGGGUGAAGAUUUUUCACCAUUUUACUGAACUAUAAGCUAAGAUCAUUGCUAUAUACAAUAGAACUACAGCAGUGAGAACAUUGCAAAGGUCUGAAAGUGAUAUCAUUUUUUUCUUAACUGAUGAAACUCAGCAAAAAGACUCAAAAUUUAUGGGAAAUGAGAGAGGUGAUAUGAUAUAUUUAUGAGAAUUAAAAGGCAGACAUAGAAGUAAAAAAAAAGAAUAGAGAGUAUGAUAUAAUUUAUGCUCAAAACAUAAGUAAAAGAAUUAAUCCCCUAAGUUAGAAAAGUGAGGGUGCUCACUGUUCACUACCCAUAUUAGAGGUGAUAAAUGUAGAAAACCAAAAGCUAAGUAUCAAAAAUUCUUUUCAUGAAGAAAUAAAAGACAUUGUUAAGAGCCUUUGUAAAUCCCAAUUAAAAUAACACAAUUGCAUGAUAUGUAUGUUAAAGUUAAAAUUGUGUAUUUAUAAGAUUUGUAAGUCAUAUUCAUGAACCGCUUUUAGCCGUAGUGAGUUGAUACUUCUGUAAUGACGUUCUAACAAGUCAAUACAGGAAAAAAGUAAAAUACAUUUAAAGUAUAGGUUCAAAGACAAAAAAUGUAUAUCCUUGUAUAAUCGCAACAAUCACUUAAUUUAAUAAAAAUAGCAAUUAAACUCUCUAGAAAAUAGACAGAUAACAAGGGCCAUCCACUGAAACACUAACAUGUUUUAGUGGAAAAUGUCUAAUGAAGAGAAAUUAUAUUGAUGGUAGAUAUCAAACAGAAGCUGGCUAACCAAAAUUGAAUUCUUUCCAUAACCAAAUGUCACACCUCCUUUUUCCGCCCCCGCAAGGGCGAAGGAGUUUUUCCAAUUAAAGGACAAUCAAAACGAGAUUUGUUCGUUUAUUUCAGAGUCGCCACUUGGGAGAUUUAGGGUGUCCCAAGUCACCACUUUAAUCCCGAAUCGAGGAAAAGAAUGACUCCAUAUUACAGUCCGCGAACCAGAAAUCCGGAUAAGGAAUUAUGUUAACCCGGGAGAAGGUGUUAGGCAUUCCCGAGUUCCGUGGUUCUAGCACGGUCGCUCAACUGUCAUAUUCGGCUUGUUUAUCUGAUUUUAUACAAUUAUGAGCUCAUGUGCAAAUUUUAGCUCUUUACCGCUUUUAUUAUAUUUUUAAAGGAAUGUGAACAUCGCUUAAGAACAUGUCUUUGGAUUGUGUCACAUGAAAUGCACCCGCAAUCCGGAACAUAUUUUUAUUCAAUGUUUUGGGAUUUGGAUUUGGGUCACAUAAAUGUGCACCCGAGUUUAAGAAAAAUUAAAUUAUUAAAGGCGCGCUUAAAGCGACUAGCGUAUCAUUUACUUUGGGUAGGGCCGUGAAAUUUUGCUAAACGGUCCAUCCCGAAGUCUAAGCAAUUUUAAAGCAAAUAUUUACUGAGGGCCUCGCAAUUUUGUUUUUUUAUUCGGCGAGGCUCAUCUCAUUCUUAUUUUUAAAAGGAAUUUGCAACAUCAUGGACACGCAUCUCGAACCACGUCACAAUCAAUGUACCCGUGAUUAGAGACACAUUUCGACUCCGUUGAGAUUUGGAUUUGGGUCACAUAAAUGUGCACCCGAGUUUAAGAAAGUAAGAUUAAUUAAGACGCACCCUAAAGAAACUAGCGUGUUGUUAUUUUGGGUAAGGCCGUGGAGUUCGCUAAGCGGCCUAUCCCGAAUUCUAUGUACUUAACACACACAUUUGUGAGGGCCCCGCAGUCUGUGCGUUUUAUCUGGCGAGGCUCGUCUCAUUUUUAUUUAAAAGGUCGUCCUAUAGUGGCUAUAUUUUCUAUUGAGUUUGUCUCUAAUAAUGAAAGAAGAAGAACAGUUCAACUUUAUUUACAUGCUUACAAGUUAGUUAUAGCCAGGUUCCUAAUAUGAUUUGCAAAAUCCGAACAUGAACGCGUAUAUGGGCAGUUGUUUAGAUAUUACGGGCCCAGGCUCAAUGUGCAUAACGUUAAACUCGGCCUGGGCCACCCUUAUUCCAAUUGGGCCUAUUCAACUUAUUUGAUAUAUGUUUGACAUUUAUAAGGGGGGGGGGGCUGAAAUGCAAUGUACUGCUUGCCUUAAUCAAGUCAUAUUCCUACCAACUUAAAACAGGCCAUUUGUUUAAAGAAGGAACUAUUGGGUACCUAACAUGCUUAUUGACAAAACAAUAAUGAACUAAUAGAACAUGACUACUACAAUAUUAAUCCCUUUUAAUUAUAAGCAACACAUAGAGUUUUCCAACUAAAUGAUAUGUAUAAAGUUCAGUUACAUCACAACUAACUACAUAGUUCUAUUAGGGAAAGUAAUUUGGCAUGUAGACAACCUAUUUUCAAUACAUUUCUAAAUUUAAUUCGAAAUAACUUCAACCCUUCCAAUUUUCUUUGUAUUCAUGCUUCAAAUUUCAUCUUACAUUGACAGUGUAUCAGUCGUGUACCUGGUAUAGGAAAGCAAACGAAGAAGGGGAAUGAUCAGUGGAAAGCAGUAGUACACACACAGCAACAUCAGCAACAGAAAAGCAGCAACACAAAGACAACAAUCAGCAGCAACAACCCAGCAGUCAGAUUUUGGUUAUUAACAACAGGCCCGGUAAAGCAAAAUCCAAGAAUACCCAGUAGAGAAACCAACAGCAGAUUUAAACCAAACAGGAAUCCAGUGAACUUUCAGAAAACCCAAAAUACCCAGCUAAAACAGUGUUGUACCAGCAGGGAAACCAGGGAAAACUAAGCUGAAAAACCAGCAAUGUCCCCAACAAAUACAGGCUAAGCAGAGAAGGAAAACAGAUGCAGAAAAGCAGUAACUUCUGAUUGUUAUGUUCAGAAAUCCAGCACUCUCUUAACUCUCUAUUAAACUGAAAUUAGGCUGACCUAUUCAAGGUUUGAAAGUCCAGCCUUGUUUUUUGCCUUUUCUUUUAUCUCUCAACACUUAAAAAAAACUGUCCAACCCCCUUAAAACUAUCCAGCCUCUAAACUUAACUCUCUAGCCAAAAACUCCAGCCAAACUCUCUAGCCCCUCUCACUCUAAAAAUCAGCCUAUUUAUAAGCCAGAAAUGGCAAGCCCCCCCAGACUGCCUUGAUCCCCUCAGCCUUUUUCUGCCCAUACCCCUUAAUCCCCCAUGCCUAAGUGUCUUUUCUUGAGCCCCACUAUAUUGUUCCCC
rnacentral:lncRNA from 1 species